rnacentral:rRNA from 1 species
CUGUGAGACAGGUGCUGCAUGGCUGUCGUCAGCUCGUGUUGUGAAAUGUUGGGUUAAGUCCCGCAACGAGCGCAACCCUUAUCCUUUGUUGCCAGCGGUCCGGCCGGGAACUCAAAGGAGACUGCCAGUGAUAAACUGGAGGAAGGUGGGGAUGACGUCAAGUCAUCAUGCCCUUACGACCAGGGCUACACACGUGCUACAAUGGCAUAUACAAAGAGAAGCGACCUCGCGAGAGCAAGCGGACCUCAUAAAGUAUGUCGUAGUCCGGAUUGGAGUCUGCAACUCGACUCCAUGAAGUCGGAAUCGCUAGUAAUCGUAGAUCAGAAUGCUACGGUGAAUACGUUCCCGGGCCUUGUACACACCGCCCGUCACACCAUGGGAGUGGGUUGCAAAAGAAGUAGGUAGCUUAACCUUCGGGAGGGCGCUUACCACUUU